CAAGACAGUCAGGUUGGCAAAACAGUAAA
rnacentral:piRNA from 1 species